AUGUUUUCCCUUCCCACCCCUAAUUUUAAUAUGAAAAUUAGGGUUCGGUAUUCGGCCGAAUCUCUCGCAAAGGAUUCGGGGGUUCGGCUGAAUCCAAAAUAGUGGAUUCGGUGCAUCCCUACAAGGUACAUCUCAUAACCAGCUUGAGAAUGGCAGACUAGGGAAAGUAUCUCUGACCAAACCAUGAGUUGAGUAGAAGAGGAUUGUCCCAGUGACCUUCAGAAUAUGGACAUAGGUAUUUCCUAGAAAUCUUGUACCCCAAAGAAAACUCUUAAAGAGGAACUGUUGCAUCCUCUUUAAUCUCAGGCAAAAGAAAAAGUAGGUUUGGUAGCUUACUGACCAGAACUAUAGCUUUUAGUGGCCCAUUAACUGUCCACUGUUUGUAUGCAAUUUGCUUAGCCAGGACUACAUGGAACUCAGCUAUGCUACUGUGGGAACCCUAGCAGAGCACAACUCUCACUCACCACUAUUUCUUCAAGAAGAACUAUGAUGUAUCUUGAAUUCCUCUGUGACAGCUUCUGUGAUUCAUAAAUGCUCCCCUCACGCACACACCAGGGGCCAAUAUAAUCCAGUAUUGCUCCUUAUAAGAUGUCUGCUAUUGACCAUUUCAUUUUUUUCCAUUAAAUUUAAUAUUUAUUUAAAAAAGAAUAUGAGAAACAGCUUUUAUAUAAAAAAAUAAAUAAAAUGAGUAUUUAUUAAACA